CCGCACACCUCGCUCGCACCACCGCAUCCCUGGACGCGAUGAUUGACGCGCGGCUCCGGUUCGGUGCGGGUCCCGCCCGGCGAUGCGGGGUAACGGGCUCAUCUCUUUGUAACCUUUGCUGAGAGGGACUCCAGGCGAGCAGCCGCUCCAUCCCAGAUCUGGGAGCCCCGCUCGCGUGGUGCUGUCUGUUUCCUGUGACUUCAUACAUGAAAGCCUCAAAUAGACCCCGAAAGAAAUGGUAUGAAAGGCUCUUCUCUUUGAGAAAAAAAGAAAAAAAAAACAAAAAACAAAAAACAAAAAACUCAGAGGAGGAAAAGCCGGGGAGAAAGGGACCUCGGGGAGUCAAUUUCGGGAUGAGUUUUUGGGUUAGAGCAGCCAGGGUGUGCGAGCUGUGCUCGCUUUGCACACCGGCUGCCUUCACUUGAGGUAUGGGUUUAUUGCUGGUCGGUAAAGUGGAACUAGAAACAGUUACCCCCCCAAAAAAAAGUCCGAAGUGGAAACUUUUUGCUGCUCUCAGAAUCAGUGCCAAGUGUAUUCUUUGCCUGUGAGGAAAAAAACUGGGAGUGUUGUCAGCUUGCAACGGAAACCCAGAGGCUUCCUAGCUCAGAUGUUGUUUAUAAAUAAUCUUUCUUGUUUGUAGGGAGAGGGAACCAAUUCCACACAGCGCUCCCCUUUGAAACACACAGCUGCAAAAAUUCAUCCUUAACAAACAGCUCCUCGGGUCGGUAUUGCUGCACCGCCAGCGACCAAACACAAAACGCCUUCACAAGAUGCAGCUUUCAGGUCUGCUCCACUGCCAUCUUUUGCUGAUGUGGAAGUUUUGGCAUCAGAAAAAUAAAAGAGCGGACGAUCCUAUUUCUUUAUUUUUAUUUAUUUUUGGCCGGCAACAUAUUUAAGCACUUUUACUAUUGUUAAGGGCAGUUGUUAUCGUUUAUUAGAAUUGGCACCUUCCUUUUCCAGAUGCUUUAGCAUUGAGAUGAAGGAGGUGGGGGGGGAUCCGGGGGUGCGGAGCUUUCUGCUGUGCUGGGAUGGGACGGGGGGGGUCCUAUCACGGUUUCGAGGUGGUGUGCAGUGUGCGUUACUUUGGAUACGUUCACUCUUCUUUUGCACGUUGGGUUUUGAAGGCGAUAAGGAUAUGCAAGAGGGGAUAACAGCUGAGAGCGAACCUCGCGGCUAUGGGGUGUCUGGAGACCAGAUUCAGAAAUCACUCAGCCUUCAAAGGGCUGAGCGUUAAUUUCGGAUAUGAAAAGUAUGCCGAAAUAAUAAUAAUAAUAAAUAAUAAUAAUAGAAAUAUUUUAAAACGGGGAAACAGUAAUAAAACCCCAGCUUAAAGCGCUCAUAAUUCCCAAACAACGCAUUUACGCGGAUCUAAGAGAGAAAACUUCAGUCCCAAACCCCCCCGAACUCACGAGAGCGGAACAAAAAUCCCUCUUGAGGAGUAAAACUCCUUUUUUUUUCUUUCUUUCUUUCUUUCUUUUUUUUUUUUAAUAAAAAAUGUGAAAUAAGUUUCUGUAGCCUGAAAGAAGAGGGUUCUACCUUUGCCAUUUCCUGUGCUAGCCCUCAGUUUGAAUGCGGCCGUCUGUUAAAAAUCCGUAAGUGGUGAGAAGAAGGGGGGGGGGGUGAGGUGGGGGGGAGGCGGAAUUCCUUGUCUGAAGAGAAGCAAAAACAAGUUACACAUGUGGGCAAUUUUCCAAGAGCCGAAAGUAUACUCCGGCUAAAAAACACAAUUCCAAAUGAGGUUUGUAAUCUCAGCAGUUAAUAAAGCAUUUCGGUCCCCUGUAAAGUAAAAGCGUAUGCGCUUUGGAAAGGGGAAGCCGGAGGAGAGAAAGUUAAAAUAAAGUUGGAUUGUUGUUCAGGAGCCCACAUUUUAGCUACCAGACUAAUCCUCCCCCCUCCUCGCCUCCCUCCAUGAAAUCAUAUCGAGCUCCCACGCAAUAGCUGGGCGAUCGCUUCGCUCCCACUGCCGCCGGUUUGGGGGUUUUAUACCCUACUGCUGCUGGGUCCCCCGCGACGAUCUGCUGUGGGGUCACCGCCAGAUAGUGGGGAACCCCUCCACCCCCACCCCAAAAAUCGUCUGAAGUCUGGGAGGGAUCUGCCUCCACCACACCGAGGCAAGGCAGUAGGGUGGGAAAAGGGCACAGGUACGAGAAUUAAGUUCUGGAGGGAGAGUUUCUGUAAAACGUGCAGCGAUAAAAGAAUGUGCAGUAAUAAAAGAAAAGGGGGAGAUUCUUUCAGACGGGCUCUUUCCGCACCGCUUUUGCCCCCCCCCCCCUCCCUACACACACACACCCCGAGUCGGGCCGAUAUGGGGCAGACGGGACCUUGGCAGGAGAGCAACUCGUGGGAAAUGUGUUGGACGAACAGCAGUUUCUCGCUGCCUCUUAGCGCAGAACUGCGCAUCACGUCGCAAUCGGGGCAGUUACCACGAGGAGGGGAUUUUCACCAUCCCCACACAGCUGCUUCUCCAGGGUGAACUGGAAAUGCAGACGGUGUGCAGAAACGAAACGAUCCCACAGCUCAGCGAGAGAAUACGUAAGAAUGAUCCCGACAAACCCGACCCCAAUUUGGGGCGAUCGGAGCCGUCUCAGCCCCAUCCUGGGGCUCUGCACCAAACCCGGCAUCGUGAGCUGAGAUGGGGAGAGCGAGAGGAGCUUCGCUUACAGAAAUAUCAUCUAAUUAGUCCACAGAUGCGGCAAAUCUUCUAAAUUAAUCGAAUAAGACUUUAAGUCGCAACAGGAGCUUUGGGUGGAGCGGGUAAGGCUGAACCUCGAGAAAGAAUCCAGCAGCACUUAAAAGGGAGAAGGAAACGUUGGAUAGCAUUAAAGAAAAGGAGUUGGCAAAACACUUCCAGCAAACCUGCAGUCGGAUACGAGCAUCUACUUAUCCGACAUUAAACCUCUCUCUUCGCUAAGACUUUAUCGGUCCAACAAUUCAUUCGAUUUUUUUUUCCUAUUUUAUUUUUCAUGGGGAAAUCUGACCAAAAAUCUCAGUUUUAGUCUUCUUUUCUUUCUUUCUCCCCCCGAUUAAUCUUUUAAUUAUUUUUAGUUUAUACAUUUCAGGUUAUUUGGGAUUACGUUUAAAUCUCCGAAAAAAAAAUCAGUUAAGAAUGAAUAAAUUGAAGAGUAAUAUUGAUAAGAAUUCUAUGGAAAGACCCAACAGAAAUGCAUCCUUCUCUGGGUGUCCCCUUAAACAAAAUACCGCAUUUCUUCCUAUCCUACCAAUUUGUUGGAAAACUUAAUUAAGCUCGGCUACCUUCCAUUAUUUAUACAAACCCUCCGUCCGGGAGACUUUAAGAGGUUUCUUCUCCGGUUUCCAACAUUGUUAUUAGAAAUCCAUAAAGCAGGGGAGGGGCAGGAAAUUAAAUUUAAAGGUACCUCAUUACGGCACAACUGCUUUCCUAUGGCAGCGGACGGAGACAACACAUGGCGGCAUAAAAGGCUGAGUCCCCCCAGCACGUAGACUUGGCAAUCCUCUCGAAAUGACCUUUUAAUUCCAAGCCUAGCAAGCUUCCGUCCACACAGCGGGCUCUAAGAGUCGGCAGAGAGGGGAGGAAAAUAAACUAAAAUAGAAGAGAGGACACCGAUGCGAAUGGAAGAGCCACGCAGAUGGAAAGCGUGGGGCGGAUGGUGGUUAGUAGUGGGUUUGACUGGGUGGGCAUCAGGAGAGGUAACCGCUAUUGGGGGGGAUUUGUUCCAGAAGUUCCCAGCUUUGCUCCAAGAGGGAUUUCCCUGCCGUGUGUCUGCAGUCCCCGAUUCGUUUCCCGCUGGAUGGUGCAGAUUAAGUGGGUUUCAGCCCAACGCAGAAACAAAGAAACGAUGCUAACCGUGAAGAGUCGGAACCGAGAAUAGACGGAACUCUCAACAGACGGUGCGGAGAAGUGGAGGUGCGAACAAAGAUCGGUUUUGCUCCCGAUCUUUGUUUUAAAAGAGAGCUUGAACUUUGAGAAGACAGAGGAAGAAAUGAUCAUAGAAGCUAAAGAAGGGGGAAGACGAUCAGCUCUGCUCGCCCGUCCGCAGAAGCAGCCAACAGCUUUCUAUCCGGACGGCUGCAGCUGAUGAGAAGCAUUAAGUAUUCUCGGGAAUCUACACGUAGGAAACUACAAAAAGACCAACACGUUACGAACACCACCUCCCUCCCCAGCACUCGGCGAGGCCGAAUCCAGCACCGACUUACCCAUUCCGCUCCUUCUCUUUUUAAUUAAGAUCACUUUUUAAGCAAACUCUCCCACUCCGAAGAAAAAAUAGCAAUAAUAAUAAUAAUAAGAGUCAAGGAAAUAUAUAAAGAAGAGGCAGCCCCACUCGUUGGCAGAGCAUCCUCCCACCACUUGUUAGAGCGAACCUUCCCCAGCUCCGGCCGAUUUCACGUUAUUUCAUUUUUCUCACUCCUUUCCUAGACUGGCGAGAGAGCAAAGGUGCCGUAAAUUAAUUUUUAACUAAAAGCCCUUUGUGUUAACGAAGGGGGGGGGGAAAAAAAAACAACAACAAACCAACAACCCACCUUCCCUCCUCCCCCUGUUUAGCAGUCUAGACAAAACCACUCUAUUUUGACGGCGGACUGCGGGCUUUCCCUGCUCGCCGCCCAUUCCUGAUUGUUUGCAUUCGCCCCCUGUAAAGCCUGGGGAGGGGACUUCAGUUUUUGUUUAUUUGUUUUACCCACCUUCGAUUUCUGGUGCCGUUUUAGCAUCUUUAGACCCUUGCCUAAAGACGGUAUUUCGUGCCGCGACAAAAAAGAAAAGGCCUAUCUUCUCUUUUUAUUUCCCCCCGGUCCAUAAGGAGCCUCCAGCAGAACGGACACCUCGAAAUCCCCAAUUGCGGUGGGUGCGAAGCCACGUCAUCCCAGAGCCGACUGAGGACAGAGGUUAUGCGGCACCGGGGAAGCUGCGGGCCCGGAGGGGUGGCUGGGUGCGGGACCCCCGGUGCCGGCUGCUGCCGACCCUUUUGCACCCCCAAAGGAGGUGCGAGGGGGGAAACAUCCCCUCAUCCCCCUCCUUUAGAGCUAAGGAGCCGAGGGUGGGUGGCGGAGAGGGGAGUGCUGGGAGCUGCCGGGUGACUGGUGGGCUCCGGCUUUGCGAAAACGGUAUUUUGGGAUAAGGUGGGGGGGGAGAGGGGGGCAAGUCUCUGCCGAUUGACUUAUCUGUUAGAAAAUGCGUGUGCAGGCGGCUUCCGGCGGGGCUCACCAAUCCGGGGCGGACGAGGCUGCUAAGACCAUCCCCUGGUGUCAAUUUUAAUGGGAAACUUCACCGCUUUGCGGGGGGGGAAGAGGGGGGGGGGGGGGUGCCGCUGCUGCCGCUGCUGCCGCCGCGUAUUUUUUAAUACGAGGACGCGCGGCUGCGGCUCACGCCGACUUUCCCGUUGUUCCUCCCCGCUCCCUCCACUCCGACGCGUUUACUCACACCGCUAUUUCCAGCCUCCCCAUUUUUGGUAUGGGGGCUAUUUUGAGAAAACCCUUUCGGAGGUGAAACAAAACCCCUUGGUUAUACCGAGGCACGAAAACCCAUCCCCAAAAAAUCCAAAGCCAAGCCCAACUGCGUGCGCUCAGCCCGAAGCUUUUGCCAUAGGGGAGGGCUCAGCUCUGUCCCCGCAGCCCCAUGGGACAAAUCCUCACGUACCCGCAGUCCAUUUGCCCUCGGGCUGUACAAGUCUACGUGCAGGGGAGGGGAAUUUUGUAUGUUACAUGCAAUAAGGCUGCGGUGCUUUUGGGAAUGGAAAAACCACUUGUCGCGUCGGGACACACAAGGAGGAGCCGGGAGGUGACACGCAGAUCCCCAUUGUGGGGUUAGCUCUGGAGCUUGCCCGGCUCAGGAAGCCGCACCCAGCCUGCUCCGAAUAGGAUUUAUACACUGGAUUAGCUGCCUGGCCUCGCACUGCAAUUUAACAAUCACCGGGGAUUCAUUUUGUCUCUAAGAAAAAAAAAAAAUGCGCUUUGUGGCGCAAUCCUCUGCAGGGCUGCAAUUGCCAAGGGAAAAACAAACAAACAACGCAACAACAACGCAACCAAACAUAAAAACCCCAAAUCCCUACAGCAACUCAGCGGGUUCCCGGUGGUUGGAGGCACCGUUUCCAAAAUGGCUCGAGCCGAGAGCGAGAAGAAAAAGGGGAAAAUUGGUUCUUCGUUAGAAUCUCUUUAAUCCAAUCUCUUCGUUAGUAAUCCGCAUCUCCUUCUGGAAUUAAGCCUGAGGGAAAGGAGUGCUGGAAAUCUGUUCAAGCUCAUGAUGGGAGGAGAUGGUUUAUAACCGCAACUGGUUCUGUAUUCGCGGCACAUACUCAAAAAAUAAAACGGAGCGGAUUUUAGUAGCUACUAAUGGGCAGUUAUUAUAGAAAGGGUAAUCGAAGGGAUUUAAAAGCUUUUGGAAAUUAGAGGUAUAAACCGAAAAUUCAUACAUAUGGAGAGGAAGAGAGAGGAGACUUUUUUCGAAGCUCUCCGAGACCCGGAGGGGUCUUUGCUCUCUUUUCUGUGGUCUCCUUUCCCGAUGCUCCCAGGACUGAGCGCAGCACCCGGAUUGCAGCAGCUGGGUGCUACAAAGUCGGGGGCUUUUCCCCCAUUUCAGCGCCUUUCUGCCUCUCUUCUCUUCCAAUCGCUUUCCCACUUGCUCUUUCAACAGCCUUUUGUACAGCAAUGGGGAACGUAGCCAAAAAUCCUCCAUUAAUAAAGAAUAUAAUUCCUCCUUCAGGGUCUGAUCCUGCACUGUGACCCCUCGGGGAGGCGGGGGGGCUUUUCCAUGCAGACUCGUCCCUGUCCUUUCCCCUAUGGGCCAAAGUCCAGGCUCGCUUUGCACACUGGCAGCCCGCGGUGCCUCCACCCCGCCCGGGGGCAAAGGCAGACAGCGGCCCCGGCCCCUCUCCUUGCACUUGUCCUCAGCCUUUUUCCAGAACCGAGAGCCGUCGGGGAACUGGGGAGGAGGAAAAGGAAGGAGAAAUAGGCAUAGAACCUUUAAGGGGAAAGUCGAGGAUUGAGGCGCAGGAUAUCUCGGCUAGAAGGAAUGAAGAUUCGCUCCGAAGGUGUUGUUUUGUUUUUUAACAAAAAAAUCUGUGCUUGGUCGGAAAAGAUUAACCCAAAAGUCCCCGACAAACAACGGCCCUUUGCAGGGGAUGCAAUCACACACAAAACAGCCCCAAACCGCCGCCUCUCGAGGCUCACUGCCAGCACGCACUACAGAGCUGUGCCGUCGGGGCACCCCGCUCCCGUCCGACCUUCUGCCGCGUCCCUCACGGCCCUCAUGCCUUCAAACAGAACCCUUCCUUGUAAAAGUCACUUUAUAGCGCCUGAGCCUGAAAACUACCAGGUAACAGCCUUUUUACAACCCGACUCCCAGGACACGGUUUCAUUUCUUU
ensembl:lncRNA